GACGAACGCUGGCGGCGUGCUUAACACAUGCAAGUCGAACGGAAAGGCCCUGCUUUUGUGGGGUGCUCGAGUGGCGAACGGGUGAGUAACACGUGAGUAACCUGCCCUUGACUUUGGGAUAACUUCAGGAAACUGGGGCUAAUACCGGAUAGGAGCUCCUGCUGCAUGGUGGGGGUUGGAAAGUUUCGGCGGUUGGGGAUGGACUCGCGGCUUAUCAGCUUGUUGGUGGGGUAGUGGCUUACCAAGGCUUUGACGGGUAGCCGGCCUGAGAGGGUGACCGGCCACAUUGGGACUGAGAUACGGCCCAGACUCCUACGGGAGGCAGCAGUGGGGAAUAUUGCACAAUGGGCGGAAGCCUGAUGCAGCGACGCCGCGUGCGGGAUGACGGCCUUCGGGUUGUAAACCGCUUUCGCCUGUGACGAAGCGUGAGUGACGGUAAUGGGUAAAGAAGCACCGGCUAACUACGUGCCAGCAGCCGCGGUGAUACGUAGGGUGCGAGCGUUGUCCGGAUUUAUUGGGCGUAAAGGGCUCGUAGGUGGUUGAUCGCGUCGGAAGUGUAAUCUUGGGGCUUAACCCUGAGCGUGCUUUCGAUACGGGUUGACUUGAGGAAGGUAGGGGAGAAUGGAAUUCCUGGUGGAGCGGUGGAGUGCGCAGAUAUCAGGAGGAACACCAGUGGCGAAGGCGGUUCUCUGGGCCUUUCCUGACGCUGAGGAGCGAAAGCGUGGGGAGCGAACAGGCUUAGAUACCCUGGUAGUCCACGCUGUAAACGGUGGGUACUAGGUGUGGGGUCCAUUCCACGGGUUCCGUGCCGUAGCUAACGCUUUAAGUACCCCGCCUGGGGAGUACGGCCGCAAGGCUAAAACUCAAAGGAAUUGACGGGGCCCCGCACAAGCGGCGGAGCAUGCGGAUUAAUUCGAUGCAACGCGUAGAACCUUACCUGGGUUUGACAUGGAUCGGGAGUGCUCAGAGAUGGGUGUGCCUCUUUUGGGGUCGGUUCACAGGUGGUGCAUGGCUGUCGUCAGCUCGUGUCGUGAGAUGUUGGGUUAAGUCCCGCAACGAGCGCAACCCUUGUUCACUGUUGCCAGCACGUUAUGGUGGGGACUCAGUGGAGACCGCCGGGGUCAACUCGGAGGAAGGUGGGGAUGACGUCAAGUCAUCAUGCCCCUUAUGUCCAGGGCUUCACGCAUGCUACAAUGGCUGGUACAGAGAGUGGCGAGCCUGUGAGGGUGAGCGAAUCUCGGAAAGCCGGUCUCAGUUCGGAUUGGGGUCUGCAACUCGACCUCAUGAAGUCGGAGUCGCUAGUAAUCGCAGAUCAGCAACGCUGCGGUGAAUACGUUCCCGGG
rnacentral:rRNA from 1 species